CUUUUUCUCAUGAAUUUUUCUUUUUACAACAAUUGAGCUCAAUGCCUUUCACUUGCUUUUUCCAUUUUGCCCCGUAUAACCCCAAACUUGAACCUUUUCAUCACAUACAAUUAAGCUCAUCCCAACUCAAGGUAAAGAUUUACAAGACAAGGGUUCACAUCCUGUUUUAGGCUAAGGUUCAAAAAUGGGUAAAAUAUUUUCAAGAACUUUGGGUGAAAAUUUGGCCAGAGAAGGAUUUUCAAAAAUGGCCUUGAUCAUAUGACAUUCACAUGCAAUUCAAUCGAUCAUCAAGAUUAAGGCAAUAUCAUCCAUGUUUUCCUGUGAACAUUGCAUACAUCAAUAAAAACUCUGGAGCUCAAAAUCUCACACACAUGCUUCCUCACACAAAAUUCAUUCAUAAACCAUGCCUAGCAUCAUGACCACAAUCAUAAAUUCAUCACCCAUCUAUUUCCUGGAUAUCAUCAUGCAUUACAACUCAAUUCUCAUCCACAUCCAAAAAUCAUCAAAUAGAUUCAUCAUGCACAUUCGUUAGUCCAACAUUUUCAGAAAAAGUAGUAUAGCCAAGAGCACACACCAAAAUUAAAAAUUCAACCUAUUCUAAGAAUUUAAAAUGCAAAAGUGUAAGAAGAAAUCUAGGUUGCCUCCUAGUAGCGCUUGUUUAACGUCACGAGCCUGACCCAAACCUGGUUGGCACUUGUCAGUAAGUGCACUACCUUCCACCACCCAUCAGUAGGUGUACCUUCCGGAUAUCCUUCAGUGGAUACCUAUAUCUUCUAACAUCCCCCAAUAGAUGCUAUCCCAGUAGCACUCAUCAGUAAAUGCUAAUCUUUCUAAUCUUCAUUGGCAUUCAUCAGUAAACGCCAUAUCACCUAACAUCCAUCAGUAGAUGUUAUCAUCACUGCCAUUAGAAGCAACACAUAACCCAAAAAAAAAUAAAAAAAUAAAAAAAAAACCAAAUAAAAUAAAAUAAAAUAAAAUAAAAAAAUUAAAUAAAAUAAAAUAAAAUAAAAUAAAAUAAUCAAAACGAAAUUGAAGAUAAAAAAUUCAGAAACUGGGUUGCCUCCCAGCAAGCGCUCCUUUAACGUCAUUAGCUUGACCCGGUAAAGCCCAAACACCCAUCAUUAGGUGUUGAAAUUUUAUGUUGGUGUUCGUCCUUCCUUCAUGACACCAACAACAUCUCGGAAAUUUCCUUUGUCACCAACUGUAAGAGCUCUGUUUGCUUUGAUAGUCUUGACAACCCAUAACCUAAUUUUGAAUUUCAUUGAUGUGNCAGGUUAGGGUUUGUCACUUUUCACAUCAGGGUGUUGGUGAACCAAUUCUCCUCCC
rnacentral:lncRNA from 1 species